rnacentral:rRNA from 1 species
UACGGAGGGGGCAAGCGUUGUUCGGAAUUACUGGGCGUAAAGCGCGCGUAGGCGGCUGGGUAAGUCGGAUGUGAAAGCCCUCGGCUCAACCGAGGAACUGCGUCCGAUACUGCUCGGCUUGAGUCCGGUAGGGGGUAGCGGAAUUCCCGGUGUAGCGGUGGAAUGCGUAGAUAUCGGGAGGAAUACCGAUGGCGAAGGCGGCUACCUGGGCCGGAACUGACGCUGAGGCGCGAAAGCUAGGGGAGCAAACAGG